rnacentral:rRNA from 1 species
GAUCAUGGCUCAGGAUGAACGCUGGCGGCGUGCUUAACACAUGCAAGUCGAACGAAGAUGCCGGAGUGCUUGCACUUUGGCAGACUGAGUGGCGGACGGGUGAGUAACGCGUGGGUAACCUGCCUUAUACAGGGGGAUAACAGUUGGAAACGACUGCUAAUACCGCAUAAGCGCACGGUAUCGCAUGAUACAGUGUGAAAAACUCCGGUGGUAUAAGAUGGACCCGCGUCUGAUUAGCUAGUUGGUGAGGUAACGGCCCACCAAGGCGACGAUCAGUAGCCGGCCUGAGAGGGUGAACGGCCACAUUGGGACUGAGACACGGCCCAAACUCCUACGGGAGGCAGCAGUGGGGAAUAUUGCACAAUGGGGGAAACCCUGAUGCAGCGACGCCGCGUGAGUGAUGAAGUAUUUCGGUAUGUAAAACUCUAUCAGCAGGGAAGAUAAUGACGGUACCUGACUAAGAAGCACCGGCUAAAUACGUG